GACGAACGCUGGCGGCGUGCUUAACACAUGCAAGUCGAACGGGAAUUACUUUAUUGAAACUUCGGUCGAUUUAAUUUAAUUCUAGUGGCGGACGGGUGAGUAACGCGUGGGUAACCUGCCUUAUACAGGGGGAUAACAGUCAGAAAUGACUGCUAAUACCGCAUAAGCGCACGGAACCGCAUGGUUCUGUGUGAAAAACUCCGGUGGUAUAAGAUGGACCCGCGUUGGAUUAGCUUGUUGGUGAGGUAACGGCUCACCAAGGCGACGAUUCAUAGCCGGCCUGAGAGGGUGAACGGCCACAUUGGGACUGAGACACGGCCCAG
rnacentral:rRNA from 1 species